UACAGGGGGGGCAAGCGUUGUUCGGAAUUACUGGGCGUAAAGGGUCUGUAGGUGGCCAACUAAGUCAAACGUGAAAUCCCUCGGCUUAACCGGGGAACUGCGUCUGAUACUGGAUGGCUUGAGUUUGGGAGAGGGAUGCGGAAUUCCAGGUGUAGCGGUGAAAUGCGUAGAUAUCUGGAGGAACACCGGUGGCGAAGGCGACAUCCUGGACCGGUAUUGACGCUGAGGCGCGAAAGCCAGGGGAGCAAAGCGGG
rnacentral:rRNA from 1 species